UACGUAGGGUGCGAGCGUUGUCCGGAAUUAUUGGGCGUAAAGAGCUUGUAGGCGGUUUGUCGCGUCUGCUGUGAAAAUCCGGGGCUCAACCCCGGACUUGCAGUGGGUACGGGCAGACUAGAGUGUGGUAGGGGAGACUGGAAUUCCUGGUGUAGCGGUGAAAUGCGCAGAUAUCAGGAGGAACACCGAUGGCGAAGGCAGCUCUCUGGGACGGUACUGACGCUGAGACGCGAAAGCGUGGGGAGCGAACAGG
rnacentral:rRNA from 1 species